rnacentral:rRNA from 1 species
UACAGAGGGGGCAAGCGUUGUUCGGAAUUACUGGGCGUAAAGGGCGCGUAGGUGGCCAACUAAGUCAGACGUGAAAUCCCUCGGCUUAACCGGGGAACUGCGUCUGAUACUGGAUGGCUUGAGUUUGGGAGAGGGACGCGGAAUUCCAGGUGUAGCGGUGAAAUGCGUAGAUAUCUGGAGGAACACCGGUGGCGAAGGCGGCGUCCUGGACCAACACUGACACUGAUGAGCGAAAGCCAGGGGAGCAAACGGG